GGUGACAGGACCCUUGCUUCCACGAGUGCGUGCGUACAGCCGUCAAAGCUUGUCGGUCUCUCGGGCUCGCUCGCCCCCUGCCCCCGUCAAACAGAAACAGGCGUGCGCUCGCCCACCUAAUCCCAAAUCCAAACAAAUCCGGCUCCUCUCAAAUCCCCCGGUUCUCCAUCCGUCCAUCCCUCCCCCCUCCUCUCCUCUCCCCCGUCUUGUUUUACCGAGCGAUCCCCCCAGCGAGCUAAACCCUAGAUCCUCCGCCCAACCGCUAAAACCCUAGCAGGCGAAGUUCGUGUGUCCGGGGCAAGGAUGGCCGAGCCCUCCAGGGUGAUCCACAUCCGGAACGUCGGGCAUGAGAUCUCCGAGACUGACCUGCUCCAGGUGGUGCAGCCGUUUGGCGCGGUCGCCAAGCUCGUCAUGCUGCGGACCAAGAACCAGGCCCUUGUCCAGAUGGAGGACCUGUCUGCUUCAAUUAGCGCCAUCCAAUACUACACUACGAUUCAACCUAGCGUGAGGGGAAGAAACGUAUACUUGCAGUACUCAUCUCACCAGGAACUGACUACUGAUCAGAGCUCUCAUGGACGGAAUCCUGAUCAGGAUGAACCCAACCGAAUUCUCUUAGUUACCGUUCAUCAUAUGCUCUAUCCUAUGACCGUCGAGGUGCUUCAUCAAGUGUUUUCUCCUUAUGGAUUUGUGGAGAAGAUUGUCACAUUUCAAAAGACUGCUGGUUUUCAAGCCCUUAUACAGUUUCAGUCACGCCAGAGUGCAAUACAAGCAGCUGGUGCUUUGCAUGGACGGAACAUUUAUGAUGGUUGCUGCCAGUUAGAUAUUCAGUACUCAAAUCUCAGCGAGUUGCAAGUUCACUACAACAAUGAUAGAUCUAGAGAUUUCACAAAUCCAUCUUUGCCCACAGAGCAACGUCCAAGAUCCUCUCAGCUUGGUUAUAAUGAUCCUAGCCUUUUUGGUUUCCAACAGCCUGGAGCUGCAUAUGGACAGGCUGCAGUGAUUGCUGCUGCAUUUGGUGGAACAUUGCCUCCUGGAGUGACUGGUACCAAUGAUCGCUGCACACUUAUAGUUAGCAACUUGAACAGUGAUAAAAUCGAUGCGGAUAAGCUCUUCAAUCUAUUUUCUAUUUAUGGAAAUAUAGUGAGAAUCAAGGUACUCCGCAACAAACCAGACCAUGCCCUUGUCCAGAUGGCUGAUUGGCUUCAGGCCGAGCUUGCUAUACACUAUUUAAAGGGAGCAAUGUUACUUGGACAGAAACUGGAAGUGAACUUCUCUAAGUACCCGAGUAUUACCCCCGCUCCUGAUGCACAUGACUACUCAACCUCCAAUCUUAACCGGUUCAACAGUAAUGUGGCGAAGAACUACCGCCAUUGCUGUGCUCCGACCAAGAUCAUCCACAUCUCAGCGCUUUCACCAGAGAUAUCUGAGGAUGCGAUCCUUGAACACCUAGGUGAGCAUGGCACCAUCGUCAAGUCCAAGCUGUUUGAGGCGAGUGGCAAGACGCAGGCUCUCGUGCAGUUUGAGAGCGAGGAAGAGGCGACCGAAGCGCUGGUCUGUAAGCAUGCGAGCAAGCUCGAGGGAUCCACAAUUAGGAUUUCUUUCUCCCAGAUGCAGAAUAUAUAGCUAUUCUUCCUGGAAAAAGUGUGAUGACUCCUCUUUCUUUCUAAACUUUUCAAGUUUGUUAUGUGGACCUGUCUUUGUUUGCGCCAUGACCAACGAUUGUUGCCUGUAUCUUGUGUGAUGGUUGUAAACUGCUGCCAGCUCAUCUGUAUCAUUUUAGCCUGCUAUGGUUUGCUUCCGAGUUACCUGUUCAUUUGCAAUCGUGGAUUCUUUUGCAAUUUUAUGAGUUGUUGCUUCUCUUCCUAGUAAUGACUUCUUUUUAAUAAUAAUAUGUACUAGUGAUCUAAACGCUUUUAUAUUAGUUUAUGGAGGGAGUACUAAUGUAUUACUGAGACCAUAAAUAUUUAAACCAUAUUCCCUUCAGACCAUAAAUUAGACCAGCCAAAUGUGAA
rnacentral:rRNA from 1 species